CUCUCACUCUCUUCUAGGCUCUCCCACUCUAAACCUCUCCCCUCUGGGACCCGUGGUCCUGCUGUCUCCUCCCCUCUUCUUUCCACUCCUCGACGCUCCCCUCGCAUGCGGCUACUACUGGCCUGCCCCACAUCGGCAAGAUCGCCUGACAAGGCAGAGGGGAAAGCUGUUGCUCUCUCUCAGCUAACAACGACCGUUACCAGGGCCAACUGUCGCCACGCACCACGACCUGUGACCUCUGGCUCGUGGAAACGUCCACACAUCUUGACGACGGCAGACCAAGACCAACUAGAAUAAUGGGCAACCUCGUAUGUAGUGCAAAACGAAAAAAGGUAUCAGAUGUCAAUAAUGAAUCUGAUGAAGAUAACAGCACAAAUGCAGCACAAGGUGGACAAGCACAAAUCCAGCACAAGGUGGACAAAGACACAGGAAGAAAAUCGGAUUGAGAUAGGCAUCUCAUUUACAAGUGAGCCCUGGCCAAGAAUGGGCCAAAGGAGGAAGUCCUGUAUGCAACAAUUGACCAUGGCAACGGCAAGAAAGCAGGAAAUAUGGUGCAGGUAGUGGAGGGAGAUGACUGUGACUAUGCGAUCGUCAAAAUCCCCUCUGAGGACAAGCUGUCAAUCAGAGAGGACUGCUCUGAUGACUAUGUGCUCAUGGGCUGAGUCUACGGAGGCCUAUUAGGCACAUGACUGGAGAAUGGCUGAACAAGGUUGCACAUGUUACUGCUGACAAACAUUGAUCACCAAUAGACUUUUCUCACACACCAGGUAUACAGAGAGGGUUGGUUUCAGUGUUUGCUCUCUUUCUCUCUCUCUCUCUCUCUCUCUCCAUCACACACACACACACACACAGAUACGUCCAUACUACAUGGAAUACUGAGAACUAUGCAUUUGCUGUUCACAUGCUACAGUAUAUAUAUAUAUAUAUACUUGUGGUGUGCGGUGACUUUUUUUCUGAGAAACAAUAGCUAUCUAUACAUUUACUGUAGACUACUUUGUUUAUGAAAGUAUUGAAGCAUUUGUUAUACCUUUUGUAUGUAUGUAUGAGAAUUUUGCAUUUAUCCUCUUUAAUUUAUUCACAUCUAAAAGUUAGACUUUUUGAUGUUUAGAUUUCUAUAUUGUCUUCAUCAUUAUGUUGGUUUUGCUCUGUUUGUCUUGAGUGUGUAUUUGUUUUGGAAACUGACAUGUAGACUAAUAGCAGCAUGUGAGUCCACACAAAAUCUACUGCAAGGAAUGACCUAUCCAAGAACGAGGACUAUUGACAAGUCUAAGCUAACUCAAGAGUUACACCCAUGCUACACCGGGUCCACAACUGAACCGCUCCGUUUGUGUAGUGAAAAGAUAGUUUUAGUAGCCCACAUUAAAAUGUAGGGUCUGGGGACUCACCGUUGGCAGUGCUCAGUCCGAGGGGCGGGAUA